ensembl:lncRNA
GUAAUUUGCAUACAGAAGUCUAAUUGGUACAGUAGCAAACCAGCCUGUUUAUAGUCAGACAGAGAAUGAAAAUGGACAUGUAAAACUAAAUUACGACUGUGGUUGGUGCAUAAAACCUUGUAACAUUAAACUCAACCUCAGGGAGUAAAAUUUACAGGUUACAGGAAUGAAAAAUACAUUACGAAUAAGGGGCUGCUGGUUCAUGUACCCAAGCAGCCCGUCCUGUAUCUACUGCCAUUGUGUUUUAGAGGAAAGACAGAUGCCGUUCUAUAAGCAUGACUUACAUACAGUAAAAGUUUUCUCUAAAGCGUUUUGAGGGCAUGCGAGUCAUCCACAUUUUUAAUAUCGCAGGGAUGCAUUUGUGUUUUCUCCGGGAAUUGAACAUGAACAUGUCCCGGGACACGACACCGGUCUGAAUUCUCAUUUUAGAGCCCAUCUUAAGUGCAAAAUGUAAUCUGGAGUCAGUCUGUUUUACACAGGCUGUAAUAAAAACACAGCCGUGGCUUAAUGCCCGCCGUCUUCUUGAGGCAGGAUAUUGCGGCACUCCGAGUCUCUGGAACACCUCAACGUUCAGUUUAUAUGGGCCUGUGUGCUUUCGUGUCAGAGGGGUUGAUGGCUGAGCGGUGGGAGUGUCACGGUACAAAUCAUGACAACAGCUACGCAGUUUGAGAUACUUGGUAUUUAUUGUCGUCUAUAAAAGUGACUUGAUGGGAUUUUUAAAGCUUUUAUUGACUUCUUCACAUACCGAGAUGACUCUUUGGAAAUGUUUGUCUGGUGGGAGCUGGAAUGUUCUCUGGGUUCUCUGGUUUGCACACCAGGGGGCAUCUCUCAUAAGACACCUCAUCCUUAUUCCCUGUCCAAGGCUUCAGAAUUCACAUCAAGGCCAAAUGCAAGAGCAACCAGUUCUGUAUCUGUACUACGAUUAGCAACUGUUCACCGUAAGCAGCCCAUUCAAAAUGACAGGAUGUGGAUUUGCCUCAGUGACAAGAGCACAAACCCCAUGACAUUUCUUUUUAAAACGAACAAGGAACAAGGACAGACAGAGCACGCCUAAAGAAUACCACCUUUGUGUGAUCCUCAAAAGGUAUAAGUGUUUCAGCUACAGAUCGACUCCAGCCCCCGAAUUGAAUCUUCUCCUGGAUCAAGUUUCCUGGAUUAAGAGUUAUAUUACUAUUUCUGUAGGCAAUUUGAAGAUGAUAAUGAUACUUGUUCCCAGCUGGGGGCUGUUGGGUAAAACAUUCACAUUAAUGACACUUAAGCCUCCAUUGCAGAACAUUGUCUGGUUUCAGUCUAGCUUUAGAGAUGCAAAAAAAUGUUGGACAGAGAAGGAAAAUAUAAAAUGAUUAAUUCUUUGUGCCCAUGUCCACACUCAACAGAAGCAUUGUAAAUGUUUAGGGUGGCAGGCAUCAUAUCGUGAGGUCUCCAAACCAAGCACUGUCUGCAAAUCUUGUUUGUUCACAUUCUUUUGUGAAUAAAUCAUUCAAAUCAUUGAUUUGAAGACA